UGGGGAAUCUUGCACAAUGGGGGCAACCCUGAUGCAGCGACGCCGCGUGAGCGAUGAAGCCCUUCGGGGUGUAAAGCUCUUUCGGCCGGAACGAUAAUGACGGUACCGGAGGAAGAAGCUGCGGCUAACUACGUGCCAGCAGCCGCGGUAAUACGUAGGCAGCAAGCGUUGUUCGGAGUUACUGGGCGUAAAGAGUGCGUAGGCGGUGACCUAAGUUCGUUGUGAAAUCUCCCGGCUUAACUGGGAGGGUGCGGCGAAAACUGGGUUGCUAGAGUGUGGGAAAGGCAAGCGGAAUUCCUGGUGUAGCGGUGAAAUGCGUAGAUAUCAGGAGGAACACCGGCGGUGUAGACGGCUUGCUAGACCAUAACUGACGCUGAGGCACGAAAGCGUGGGUAGCAAACA
rnacentral:rRNA from 1 species